AAAUGUAUCUUUCAACUCACGGUCCUGCAGCGAAUUUUUCGACUCGACACGAGGCAGAUCCUAGCUAAAAAUGACAAAGCCAAAAACCAAACCAUGCCCUUCCUGUCAGGCUCCAAACACCUGCAACAGGAAGACAUGCAGUGGAUGCCUGGGCAGCCUGAACGUAAAGGAGUGAUUGAAAAAAAACAAGAACAGUUUAAAAACAGUAACUGGGCUGCCUCUGUUAAAAACAACAGAAAUGCGAGCAGGAUGGUUAAUUCAGCCCAGUUGUCAGUGUCCUUAUCAGGUAGCCUAUCCUAGCUGUCUUUGGGUGAUACUCAUGGUACACCCUAGAUAAGAAGGCAGAUCACCACGGGGUACACAGAGACAAACAAGAUGGUGAGGAUGAGGAUAGUUAACAGUCACCAGCUAUUCUAUUCUAUUCUACUCUACUCUAUUCUGUUCUGUUCUAUUCUAUUCUAUUAUUCAGCCAAGGUUCAGACCAGUAACCUUCUUGCUGUGAGGUGACAGCUGCCCUACAUGUCCUGUUGCUAACAUAAAAUAGUGUUAUAUAUGCCUUAUUACCUCCCCAUGUGGCGUUCACAUCACCAAAGCUAGCCAUACUGAACCUCUGGUGUUACCCACCUGAACAAUUUUGUAUGUGUGUGUGUGUAUAGUAUGGUCUUUCACACUCAUGUAUAUACAAAUGUAAUUUUAAAAAUCUUCACGAAAACCAGACCUGAUAAUUCUCUUCGAGACUUUCUAGUAUAACAAAUGUUAUAAUGUUACCAAUAUGAACACCAAGAUUCUUAAAUAACUUAUAUACUUCUUAAGAGGUUACCUGAUUACCUCCCUGAGGUAGUUAGCAUCACCAUUGUACAAAACUCCUAAGUCACAGUACUAGCUUGAAGUGUCAAAUGUUAUGCACUACAAAGUCAGGAAAGUAGUGUCAUCAGAGGAAAAAAGUCAUUAGCUAUCUGGAUUUAUAGUCACACUCAUUAAUUUAUUAAUGUACAAUGUAGAAAAGCACUACAGAUGUCACACUACCCUAGAGGGCACUUGUACUGAAUGAUUUGAGUCAGUGAGUGUGUGAGAUGACAUAUUUGAUGCCAAUAUUCACAAGUUGUAACUUUAGUAAAAACGUAACUGAAAACAUGCAAAUCACUACUUAUGUGUUUAUGUGUACUGUACAUUUUUUCAACCCAUUUUAAUGAAUAUUUAAUAUUUAAAAUUUUGCAGAAUUACAAGCUUCACCUCCUGCUAAAAGUUCUACACCAGCAGCUGGAUCAUCCUCUGCUGACAGUGUCGAUGCUGGACCAGUCCCAGACCCAGAGGCUCUAAACGAGGAAUUUAUUCUUCAUUUAGAGCCUGUACCAACAUCUUCCCUCUGUCAGCCUCCUGCAUCCUCCUCUUCAUC